UACAGAGGUCUCAAGCGUUGUUCGGAUUUAUUGGGCGUAAAGGGUGCGUAGGCGGCGAGGUAAGUCUGGUGUGAAAUCCUGGGGCUCAACCCCAGAAUUGCACUGGAUACUGCUUUGCUAGAGGACUGGAGAGGAGAUUGGAAUUCACGGUGUAGCAGUGAAAUGCGUAGAUAUCGUGAGGAAGACCAGUGGCGAAGGCGAAUCUCUGGACAGUUCCUGACGCUGGAGGCACGAAGGCUAGGGGAGCAAACGGG
rnacentral:rRNA from 1 species